rnacentral:lncRNA from 1 species
GGCAAGGUCUGAACGAGGAGAAAAUGUCACAUGAUUCCUCUUCAAAAUCUCACCUAGAAAAUGAAUCACACAACUGUAACCUCGGAAAUUAAGGUGAUUCGAUGGACACCAUAUUUUGUGUCAGAACGGCAUGCGAUAUAUCGCAUCAACUGGCUCCAUUUUUUCAGCUACUCGUCAUUUUUCUCCUGUUUUGAAAUCGCAAUUCUGUUGUCAGGAGUCUAAAGCACUUACUUACCAAUUUUAACAAAGAAAUUCAACCUAAUAAAGGCGUGGUUUUUUCAGAGAGAAAACAUCGCAUUCGAGUGCAGUUUCGAUAUCAGUAUCGAAUGCGAUAUUUUCUCUCUGAAAAAACCACGCCUUUAUUAGGUUGAAUUUCUUUGAUAAAAUUGGUAAGUGAGUGCUUUAGUCUCCUGACAACAGAAUUGCGAUUUCAAAAUAGGAGAAAAAUGUCGAGUAGCUGAAAAUAUGGAACCAAUUGACGCGAUAUAUUGCAUGCCGUUCUGACACAAAAUAUGGCGUCCAUCGAAUCACCUUAACUCCUGAACAAGAUGUAAACCAAAGUUUUUAACACAGAUCAAAUCGAAGUUAGAUCAUACACUAAUGACAUUAGUUGUAUUUAUGCCAUUUAACUUAUGUUAAUUCUAGACACCUAUAUAUUGUUUAAAGGUUGAUGUCCAAUCUUCCUUCCCAUUGUGUGAUUCGCUUUCCUUGUGAAAUUUUUGAGAGGGAACAAGUUACGCAGUGCUUUAACUCAUACCUUAUCUAGUGCACUAGCUCGACAACAAGAAGCUUCUGAGGUAAAAUAACACAUCCUCAUUUCUUGUUUCUAUUGUUAUUUUUUCAUGAGUUUCUUUCCAAGGGGCACACAAUCAUGUUCUCAAAACAGAAGUUUAAAAAACCUAUAUUUCAUUACCAUAAACGUAUGACAUGCUACAAAAGUCAACAAUAAAAUUAAAGACAGGAGAAAUGAGCGGAGUAGAAAAAGAAAAAGGAGUAAUGUCGGAAAUUGACAAAAAUUUAUUAUAUAGAAAAAUAAGUAAAGAAGUACUUAAACUAGUUGCGUGGACCACCAUUAGAUGCACCUUCGGUCUUCCCCCGACGGAAAGCUGGGACCCAUUUUUCCGAAGAUAUUUUAACAUCCUUAUUUUCCUUGCCGGGAGGAGGCGGUUCUGGUCUAUUUUCUCUGGGUUCUGGUCUGGCAGGUUCAGGUGGCCCUGUUUUCCGCUGCGGUGGACGGUACACCUGUUUCGGAGGUGGAUCUUGCCUGGGUCCUGAAAAAUAAAACAUUCUUGUUUAGAUUUAUAGUCAUAGAAAAGAAUUGAAAACAAAAAAAU